ensembl:snRNA U2 U2 spliceosomal RNA
AUCGCUUCUCGGCCUUUUGGCUAAGAUCACGCGUAGUAUCUGUUCCCGUCAGCUUAAUAUCUGACGCGUCCUCUAUUGGGGGACAGUAUAGUAGGUGAAUUUUUAGAGCCGGGAGCUGGACUAGGAGCUUGCUCCGUCCACUCCGCGCAUCGCCCUGGUAUUGCAGUGCUUCCAGGAGCGGUGCCCCUCCC